UACGAAGGGUGCAAGCGUUACUCGGAAUUACUGGGCGUAAAGCGUGCGUAGGUGGUUCGUUAAGUCUGAUGUGAAAGCCCUGGGCUCAACCUGGGAAUGGCAUUGGAUACUGGCGCCUAGAGUGCGGUAGAGGGGUGUGGAAUUCCCGGUGUAGCAGUGAAAAUGCGUAGAUAUCGGGAGGAACAUCUGUGGCGAAGGCGACGCCCUG
rnacentral:rRNA from 1 species